CGGUAGUUGGCUGACAUAUACACACCCUCUGUGACAUACAAAUAUGUACAUAGACACUACAUUGUACAUGCACACGACUACAUACACACUACGACAUAUAGAUAUACAUGAUAUCAAACACGAACACAUACACACACACAUAAACACACGCAUUCUUAUAUGAGGAGAUGACGUUGAAUAUUUUUAAAUUGCAGUUGCUCUUAAAGUUAACGGUGCUGACCAAGCGUUCCUGUGACAAAUACAUUAAACUAAAACUAAAACUCAACGAUCAACUUUGCUGAUAAAUCUACGCCUGGCAAUAUGUUUCACCACGUAGUAUCAUAUAGACGGUCUCUUGUGUUGAUACUGUGUACGAUAUUGUUUUUGGAGACUCAAGCUGAUUCAGAUAUAUGCAAGAUAUGUACUUGCAAUUCACUUACAACGAGAAUAAAUUGUGCACGUCGCAAUUUACUAUCAAUUCCACAACCAAUUCCGACGAAUGUUGAAUAUUUAGAACUGUGGAACAACAACAUUGCAACCAUCAAAGAAGGAGCAUUCACGGGGCUUUCACAUUUAAAAGAAUUAUAUCUUUUCGGGAACAACAUUUCAACCAUCAAAGAAGGUGUAUUCACGGGGCUUUCCAAUUUAAAAACAGUAGAUCUUUCCUACAAUAAAAUUUCAAGGAUUGAAAAGGAGAUGUUUCAAGGCCUUCACAGCUUAGAGGAAUUAGAUCUGUACGAGAACAACAUUUCAACCAUCAAAGAAGGUACAUUCACGGGGCUUUCAAAUUUAAAAGAAUUAUCUCUUGACAGCAAUAAAAUUUCAAGGAUUGAAAAGGAGAUGUUUCAAGGCCUUCACAACUUAGAGAAAUUAGAUCUGAGAUGGAACAACAUUUCAACCAUCAAAGAAGGUUUAUUCACGGGCCUUUCGAAUUUAAAGACAUUAGGUCUUCGCAACAAUAAGAUUUCAAGGAUUGAAAAAGAGAUGUUUCAAGGCCUUCACAACUUAGAGAAAUUAUCUCUUUCCUUCAAUAAAAUUUCAAGGAUUGAAAAAGAGAUGUUUCAAGGCCUUCACAACUUAGAGAUAUUUUACCUCGAAAACAAUAACCUUAUGAAGUGUGGAUGUCACUUGCCAGCCUUCGUUAAGUAUAUUAAAAAAGUCUAUAACAGAACUGUUGCUGUCUCUGGCACGUGUCAGGAAGGCUCAGGGAAACGAAUACCUAUACUGGAUUAUUCGCAAUGUCAAAAUUACUCGUUAUUUCAACGGAAUUUACAGUGUCAAACAUGUUCAGGAAUCAUAUGCAAUGAAUGAAGUGACAAGCUGUCCAGGAACAGAGCCUGUAUGCCGAUUCGCAAUAUCAAUGAACGGUGCUAAACUGAAGACUGAAAGGUCCUGCAGCACAUACAGAAAAUGUGUUGAAGCUAUGAGAAACAAUACCCUUACAUGCAAUAAACGGACGAAUGGCACGUCUUGUACUGGUUGUUGCGUCGGACACUUGUGUAACAGAAUGAUUUCAUUGGCUGGACCAAAUCCCUCGUAUUUCGUUUGAUUUUAAAAAGUUCAACGAAUAUAAAAUCCCCGCUGAGAACAUAUCAAGAGCCAUGGAGCAUGACCUUUCAACCGUGACGGGAACAUUUAGAGUUGAAGACUGUGGCUCAAACAGAAAUAAAAUAUUUGCUAUUUACUGUACAGUAUUUAGCGAAAUGACUGAAAGUCAACUGCGGCGCAAUAUCUCCCAGUUUUGAACAAUUCCCAGGAAUUGCUUAACUUAGGAGUU